rnacentral:rRNA from 1 species
GACACACGGCGGGUGCUAACGUCCGUCGUGAAGAGGGAAACAACCCAGAUCGCCAGCUAAGGUCCCAAAGUCAUGGUUAAGUGGGAAACGAUGUGGGAAGGCCCAGACAGCCAGGAUGUUGGCUUAGAAGCAGCCAUCAUUUAAAGAAAGCGUAAUAGCUCACUGGUCGAGUCGGCCUGCGCGGAAGAUGUAACGGGGCUAAACCAUGCACCGAAGCUGCGGCAGCGACGCUGAUGCGUUGUUGGGUAGGGGAGCGUUCUGUAAGCCUGCGAAGGUGUGCUGUGAGGCAUGCUGGAGGUAUCAGAAGUGCGAAUGCUGACAUAAGUAACGAUAAAGCGGGUGAAAAGCCCGCUCGCCGGAAGACCAAGGGUUCCUGUCCAACGUUAAUCGGGGCAGGGUGAGUCGACCCCUAAGGCGAGGCCGAAAGGCGUAGUCGAUGGGAAACAGGUUAAUAUUCCUGUACUUGGUGUUACUGCGAAGGGGGGACGGAGAAGGCUAUGUUGGCCGGGCGACGGUUGUCCCGGUUUAAGCGUGUAGGCUGGUUUUCCAGGCAAAUCCGGAAAAUCAAGGCUGAGGCGUGAUGACGAGGCACUACGGUGCUGAAGCAACAAAUGCCCUGCUUCCAGGAAAAGCCUCUAAGCAUCAGGUAACAUCAAAUCGUACCCCAAACCGACACAGGUGGUCAGGUAGAGAAUACCAAGGCGCUUGAGAGAACUCGGGUGAAGGAACUAGGCAAAAUGGUGCCGUAACUUCGGGAGAAGGCACGCUGAUAUGUAGGUGAGGUCCCUCGCGGAUGGAGCUGAAAUCAGUCGAAGAUACCAGCUGGCUGCAACUGUUUAUUAAAAACACAGCACUGUGCAAACACGAAAGUGGACGUAUACGGUGUGACGCCUGCCCGGUGCCGGAAGGUUAAUUGAUGGGGUUAGCGCAAGCGAAGCUCUUGAUCGAAGCCCCGGUAAACGGCGGCCGUAACUAUAACGGUCCUAAGGUAGCGAAAUUCCUUGUCGGGUAAGUUCCGACCUGCACGAAUGGCGUAAUGAUGGCCAGGCUGUCUCCACCCGAGACUCAGUGAAAUUGAACUCGCUGUGAAGAUGCAGUGUACCCGCGGCAAGACGGAAAGACCCCGUGAACCUUUACUAUAGCUUGACACUGAACAUUGAGCCUUGAUGUGUAGGAUAGGUGGGAGGCUUGAAGUGUGGACGCCAGUCUGCAUGGAGCCGACCUUGAAAUACCACCCUUUAAUGUUUGAUGUUCUAACGUUGACCCGUAAUCCGGGUUGCGGACAGUGUCUGGUGGGUAGUUUGACUGGGGCGGUCUCCUCCUAAAGAGUAACGGAGGAGCACGAAGGUUGGCUAAUCCUGGUCGGACAUCAGGAGGUUAGUGCAAUGGCAUAAGCCAGCUUGACUGCGAGCGUGACGGCGCGAGCAGGUGCGAAAGCAGGUCAUAGUGAUCCGGUGGUUCUGAAUGGAAGGGCCAUCGCUCAACGGAUAAAAGGUACUCCGGGGAUAACAGGCUGAUACCGCCCAAGAGUUCAUAUCGACGGCGGUGUUUGGCACCUCGAUGUCGGCUCAUCACAUCCUGGGGCUGAAGUAGGUCCCAAGGGUAUGGCUGUUCGCCAUUUAAAGUGGUACGCGAGCUGGGUUUAGAACGUCGUGAGACAGUUCGGUCCCUAUCUGCCGUGGGCGCUGGAGAACUGAGGGGGGCUGCUCCUAGUACGAGAGGACCGGAGUGGACGCAUCACUGGUGUUCGGGUUGUCAUGCCAAUGGCACUGCCCGGUAGCUAAAUGCGGAAGAGAUAAGUGCUGAAAGCAUCUAAGCACGAAACUUGCCCCGAGAUGAGUUCUCCCUGACCCUUUAAGGGUCCUGAAGGAACGUUGAAGACGACGACGUUGAUAGGCCGGGUGUGUAAGCGCAGCGAUGCGUUGAGCUAACCGGUACUAAUGAACCGUGAGGCUUAACCU